GGCGAACGGGUGAGUAACACGUGGUGAUCUGCACUGCACUCUGGGAUAAGCCUGGGAAACUGGGUCUAAUACCGGAUAGGACCAUGCUUUAGUGUGUGUGGUGGAAAGUUUUUCGGUGUAGGAUGAGCCCGCGGCCUAUCAGCUUGUUGGUGGGGUAAUGGCCUACCAAGGCGGCGACGGGUAGCCGGACUGAGAGGUUGGUCGGCCACAUUGGGACUGAGAUACGGCCCAG
rnacentral:rRNA from 1 species